CUCCCAGGCCCACCACUUCGCAAUCCGCAAGGAUUGUCGGAUCUCCUCGAUAUCCGUCGGGAAACACUAUCAGGGGCCGUAGCUCAGCUGGGAGAGCGCCUGCUUUGCAAGCAGGAUGUCGUCGGUUCGAUCCCGUCCGGCUCCACCAACCAUCUUCUGUGAAGGUGGGGCGUGUCGAGUAGAGGAUGAUCGCCCGCGGUCAGUCAUUCGAAAAAGAGUUUGCGGCGCGCUUCGUGCUCUCCGCCUGUUCUGUUUGACAUCGUAAAGAGAAGAUUUGUUCGAACUUCACGGCUGCAAGGCUGUGAUUUGUCGCAAGGACGCUCAAUCCCUUGCCUAUGAUGGGUUUGCCUAACCGCGCCCUCGAACGGAUCUCGAGAAGCUGGUCUUUUUGUGCCAAUUCCAUUGAAGCAAGCCCCGCACAGGGUUUUGCUCAGGCGGCGAUCCUUCGGAUCGCGCAGAUGGGUAUUGGCAAUGAGAACGAUCAAGUGUCUUAAGGGCAAUUGGUGGAUGCCUUGGCAUGCACAGGCGAUGAAGGACGUGAUACGCUGCGAUAAGCUACGGGGAGGUGC
rnacentral:misc_RNA from 1 species